rnacentral:rRNA from 1 species
GAUGAACGCUGGCGGCGUGCCUAAUACAUGCAAGUCGAGCGAACGGACGAGAAGCUUGCUUCUCUGAUGUUAGCGGCGGACGGGUGAGUAACACGUGGAUAACCUACCUAUAAGACUGGGAUAACUUCGGGAAACCGUAGCUAAUACCGGAUAAUAUUUUGAACCGCAUGGUUCAAAAGUGAAAGACGGUCUUGCUGUCACUUAUAGAUGGAUCCGCGCUGCAUUAGCUAGUUGGUAAGGUAACGGCUUACCAAGGCAACGAUGCAUAGCCGACCUGAGAGGGGGAUCGGCCACACUGGAACUGAGACACGGUCCAGACCCCUACGGGAGGCAGCAGUAGGGAAUCUUCCGCAAUGGGCGAAAGCCUGACGGAGCAACGCCGCGGGAGUGAUGAAGGUCUUCGGAUCGUAAAACUCUUUUUUUGGGGAAAAACAUAUGUGUAAGUAACUGUGCACAUCUUGACGGUACCAAAUCAGAAAGCCCCGGCUAACUACGG